UAGCUAUUGUCUAAUGACGUCAUUUUG
rnacentral:sRNA from 1 species